rnacentral:lncRNA from 1 species
GAAAGAAGCACUGAGCAUGCUCCGUGCAUGCGCAUGCCAACCCAGCCAUCCCCUGGGGGGACCGAGAUCAUUCUCCAGUGUGGUUACCUCUGUGGAAGGGCUUGGCGUUACAUCAGCCUUGUGGUGCCAUUAACCCGUUUCUAUCAUGGUCUAAAUGUGUUGCAGUGGAUAUGCAACAGGUGGUGUAGUGGUUAAAGCACCGCCUUACAGCCCAAGGACCCUCGUUUGAAUCCCACCUCCUGGUGUACUGUCCUUGAUCCAGGUAAUUACCCUGAACUGAUGCAGUGAAAUUACCCUGCUAUAUACUGUAAAAGGGUGGAUCAGUGUAAGCUGCUUUGGUGAAAAGUGUCAGUGUAAUAAAUAAAUGUGAGUGUGUGUCAGGAAGUGUGUGUGACGCGAGAUCAGUGCAACGUGAGGCAACCGCAAGCUGAGCGCAUUCCUGAACGGCCUGCGCUUUACAGUCCCGUGCGCCUGUCCUGUUGUCUUGGACCUCAUGUGGCCCGCUUGGUUGACGGAGCCCUGAGGGACUGGACUCCCUCGCAGUGACCCAGUGCAGACGAGCGAUUUGACGUCCGAAACCUCGCUGGCGACGAGCCGUUGCGCAGGCGCACGUGGGCGUUAGCGGAGCCGCUCUGGUGGUCUCGUGCGCUGGUCUGCGAGCACAGAAAAGCUCGGCAAAGAUUGCAGAUUCCUGUAUUCUUCUUCCAGGGAUUACCACAAUGCCCUCUCCCCGUACCCUCUGGGGAAGGCGAAUGAAGCCAGAAACGUCGAGGUGGAACAUCCAAGUUUUCCCUGUCUGCAAGAUCAAUUAACCUGCACUUCCCAGCAGCGCAGGACAGGACAGUGGAGAACCUUCACCUUAGAAGGAGCUCUGAGGUCUCUGAGUCACCUCAAAGGAAAUAAGCAUCUGAAGUUCGAAAAAAAUGAAUAAUAACCUUGAAACAAAAGAAAUGCUUCCUCUUGGAGCUCUUCCCGACAUCUGGACUUCCCUCAGAUUAAACGUCCAUGAAAAGACGAAAACCGGAAACCGUUCGUCAGGCAACGGCGUGACCUCCCUCUGCCAAAACCAACAAGGCCGUGAGCGCGGAGCUCGUUCGGCAAAGGCCGACUGCAAUGUGCUACGAUAUUUAGCGACGCUUGAAGAUCGGAUCUCCUGUCUCGAUUUAAAUGCCAAGGUAAAAUGGGAUACCCUGUACCUCAUGCUGCUCCAUCCCUCGUGGUCCCCAGUCUUGUUCUCCAUGGUUCUGCCAAAGAACAUAUCGACGUGAUCUUUACGUGAAACUGGACAUCCGAACUCGAGAGCAGCAGACUGCGGUGGUGCUCAUCGUGGAUGAAGGUCAAAUACUCCGGCGCUAUUCGUCACUUAAGUGUUCCUGGGCAUUCGGUGGACAGCGAAGGACAGUGAAGCGGAACACCUUCCUACACAGACAGACAUGAGAAUUUGCAUCUUCCACAAUUUACUCCAUGCUGUACGACUAUUCAAACCUCUCUUUCAUAGAGCUCAGUGCCCUACUGGAAUUAUCUGUAAUUAUUCUUCAUUGCACUAGAGUAACAGUGGCAUUAUUGGUAUUAUGAGAUGCGUUAUAACAUCAACAGCCGUUGCAUAUAUAAUGCCAACAAAUCUUCACGCAAUCAUCAUCAAAUUGUGAAAAAAAGCUCCCAACAUUUUA